GCAAGUCGAGGGGCAGCACAAAGAUAGUUUACUAUUUUGGGUGGCGACCGGCGCACGGGUGAGUAACGCGUAUGCAACCUACCUUAUACAGGAGUAUAGCCCGAAGAAAUUCGGAUUAAUCCUCCAUAGUAUUUUCUAAUGGCAUCAUUUGGAAAAUUAAAGCUUCGGCGGUAUAAGAUGGGCAUGCGUCCUAUUAGCUAGAUGGUAAGGUAAUGGCUUACCAUGGCAACGAUAGGUAGGGGGCCUGAGAGGGUGAUCCCCCACACUGGUACUGAGACACGGACCAGACUCCUACGGGAGGCAGCAGUGAGGAAUAUUGGGCAAUGGAGGCAACUCUGACCCAGCCAUGCCGCGUGCAGGAAGAAUGCCCUAUGGGUUGUAAACUGCUUUUAUUUAGGAAUAAACCCUUCUACGUGUAGAAGGCUGAAUGUACUAAACGAAUAAGCACCGGCUAACUCCGUGCCAGCAGCCGCGGUAAUACGGAGGGUGCAAGCGUUAUCCGGAAUCAUUGGGUUUAAAGGGUCCGCAGGCGGACGUAUAAGUCAGUGGUGAAAUCCUGCAGCUUAACUGCAGAACUGCCAUUGAUACUGUACGUCUUGAAUUCGGUCGAAGUGGGCGGAAUGUGUAGUGUAGCGGUGAAAUGCAU
rnacentral:rRNA from 1 species